UGAGCUGCAACCAAAAGUCAGACGCUUCACCGAUUGAGCCACCCAGGCGCCCCCAUAGUAUUUUCUAAGUAUCAUGUGUCCUAAGCAAAGUCUCUUGGAUACCGUGUGAGAAUUAACCUCUUCUCAGCCCAUGCUCUACUGGCUCUCCAUAUUUGGUUGUCCCUUUCUUCUGCCCUUUGUACACACCUCCCUUGUGGAGGUUUUUUAAAUGUACUUCCUCAAGGUAGGUUUACUGCUCUUGCUCUCAUACUAGACAGCAAGCUCACUGAAGUUGGGUCCUAUGUGAUAAAUGCUGUAAUAGAGCUAAAAGCAUUGCUAACGUACAGGUGGAUGGUCCCCUUUGUAUUUGAGUUACUACAGACCAAGUAUGCCUGAAAGACAGCCCAUACCUUCCAGACACUAUUGAGGGAGGAUCAAAGAUUAAUAAAUUCCUCUGAGCCACCAGAGCCCAGAGCCUGUUCAAAGAUGAAAACCUGGUAUGCACUUGAGGUCAGAGGCUGGGGUCAUGGGCAGGUCACCAGCAAGCAUGCAUAGAAUCUACUGAGUAGACACUCUGAGGGGAAGCAAAGACAGGAAGUCCCAGAAGACACAGAAUGGAGAGCCAAUGCCUGAGAGGCAACAACAGGGUUGAUAGGGACUCAAAUUUAUUCAGCAGGUCUCCAUGAAGUGACAGGCAGACAUUCUACAGUAGUUACCAAGAGCCAAAGCCAUACCCCACCCAUUGCUCCUUGGCUUAAAGGCAUGGUACCCUGAUUCCGGUCCAGAUUUUCAAAUAGGCGGGGUUUGAGACUGCGGUCUGGAUCAAGAGGCAACACUCAAAGUACAUUUGGAGAACUUUUUCAAAAAGAUUAAGGCUGUGUUGAUAUUACAUUUGACAUUGAGGAGGGCCAAGGACUGACUGCCACAGGCAUUGCUUAUCGGACUGUCCCCAAAAGCUUUGCCAAAAAGAAAAAAAAAAAAAAAAAAGAGAGAGAAGGUGGCUGAUGCAAGCCAAAUGAGCUCAAUUUAGUGCACAGGCUAACUUGGUGAUCCCACAGCCUAUCUGGACCCUAACUUCUCUCACUUAAUGGGCCCAUGAACAAAAAAGCCUCAUCAAGACCCUCAGGGGUGACUCCAUCUUAUCUAAAUAGGCUCCCUGUCACUGCAUAGGGACGCUUCCACCUGACUGGGCCCCUGGGGAUGGACACCAAAAAAUACUAGUGCAGAGGAAAGGCAGCCUGUGCUCUGCUGACUUCCCUUUGGUCACCCCCACCGUGACACUGUAGGGCCUCGGCUUUGAAGGGGCUCCUCCGCUGCCCCUUUCCCCAGCCUCCCACCCACUCCCUUCCCAAAGUGGGGCGGGGGGGGGGGGUGUCUUGCCUUGAAAGCUCCAAACCCUGGCUUGUUAGCAGCCAGCUGCAACCCAUCAACCCCGCUGAUUAGGCAUUUGAAAGGGUGGAGCAUUUUAAUGCCAUGAUUGACAAUGGCUCCUAUCACACACCUGCUGCUGUAAAAUCCCCAUAAAAUGUCAACAGGGAGUGUAAGUGAUAUAUGGCAGGGGUGCUGCCCAGGGUAGGAAUGUUAAGUGCUAGGAGCUGGGAGUGUCAGAACCUCAGCUACCGAAAACAAAAUAAAACCAGCACCCAGUUGAAUCCAUUUCCAAAGACAGCGCCACCGAGGCCUAAUUCACCAAGCCCAGCUCUGCCUGCCAGUGCAUGAGCCUUAGCACUGGCCAUCACUGUUGAAAGCCCUACUGGGUGGGUACUGGGUGACCACCACCAGAUUGUUCCUGCCCCAUACAGGGGCCUGGCUCCUAGACUCCAGGCAGCUUCCAUGUGGGUCAGCAACUUGCCCGUUUGGGCUCGAUUGGAGUUUGAUGGACUCCGUGUGUUUUCUUGGAGCCCUUACCGGCAGGAGCCGAUCAGUCAAGUGGCUCUGAGUGAUAGUUUCCUGGGAGGCAGGUUGCCAAAUCCAGGUGGCCCAAUGCUAAAACCUCACCCUAGAGCCAAAGCACUCUGCCUGGAUGGCUGCAGGCAAAAUGAGGAUGAAAAAGAUUCCAGGUGGAUCUGAGAUCAAGGGCUGAGGAAUUAGACACAGAGGUGGGUCCCUCAAGGUGGAAGGUAACCUGAGUACAGUUUGCAAAGGUGGUCUUCAGUCGUGGGGUGAGUUCAGUGGGAGGGAGCCGGGAGCAGCAGACCUGGAAUAUUGCUCUAGAAGACAGUGGCAAGGGAAGCCCAGUUCAUGUUUCCUAUCUGGUAUGCAGGGAAGGGGCUAAUCCCGGGUGGUUACCAGUAAGAGCAGGUAGUGUGAAUUGUACGCCGUGGGGUUAUUAAUGAAUUAAGUUCUUUUACUUAAUAAGUAUCAGGUUCUUGGUUGACGCCUGGGGUUACCAGAGCCCACAGAUCCUCUUCUUGCCCUCACUGAGCAAAGCGGGUAUUAUUAACGCACUUCUAGUCCAGCCUGAUGAGUAUCUGGUGGGAUGGCGAGGUACGGGGGAACUCCGGGGAUCCUGGAUCUGAGGGAAAAUGCAGGGAAUCCUGGAAACAGCGGGAAUCUCUUAUUUUAAUUCAACAAGCAUUUAUGAGCACCUCCUAUAUACCAAGUACUGACUAUAAAGGGAAUGGAAAAUUCUAUCUACUGUCAACAGCUUAAGGACUGAGUUUCCAUUUCUUCUAGGUCCACAGAAGCAAGAGGUAGCAAGAGAGUAUGUCCAGGUACAGGGCAGCAAAAGGGUACGGGUGAUUAUUACCGAUUUAGGUUUUUCUUUUCAUUAUAAACUAUUCCAAGGGAGCUAACAGUUGCCAAGGAAUGUCCAUCAUGCUGACUGGACAGUCACCAAGCUGCAAAGCAUUCUGUGUCUCUCAAGGAUUAUGUAUAGGACUGCAGCCUGUUCCUCUCGGAGAGCAAAAGUCUCCUGAAGCUGCUAGGAUUCCCAACAUUGUUACAACUGUUACUUUAUCUGCAUGACAAUUGUCCUCUCCCUGUGGAAGACUUGUCUUGCCACCUCAAGUACAUUGGUUUUGUUCAGGGAAACAACUUCAUCUUUUCUACUCAACCUCAGAAUAUGCCCAGGAGAGUGACUGGCAUGGAGGAGACAGAUGUUGAGACAACAGAAUACAUAGCAAAUGGUUCUGGAGAUCAUACACCAGAUGAAGCGGACUACCAACUCUUUAUUAGAGAAUCACUGUGUACAAGCAACAUGUCAGCACAAGGACCUCGGCCAGACUAAGUCACUCUACGGUUUCUAUGCCAGGCAAGUCCCUUCUGCUAACAGCCUUUACGUAUUAGAACCAAAGACUUGCCAUCUGCUACCUCUACUGGUGUCCAAAUGUAAUGUUUACAUCGUCUCUAAGAUAUUCUGGCAUUGACCGUCUAUCCUGUUUGUACAACUAGUUCUAAGGGUAAAAACUUCUGGAGUGAGUUUCCGGAGCCCUUUGCUCUAUAGGUAGCUUCGACAACUAUGCUUUGUACUGUAUUGGAAAUAACUGGUAUUUAUUUUUACUUACCAUUCACCGAACAGUACUUCCCUGAAGAAACGCAGCCUAUGCUUGUUUUUAUGUACACAGAGAAGAGGAACAGAUAAACAUCUGUAGCUGAGCCGGGAAACAAAGUUUCAAGAGGUAUUUUUGAUUACUCUUCACUUAUUGGAAUUGUGGGAAGUGAAAAUGCUUGGCUUUUUUUCGGUCUUUCAAAGAAGCCGUGACCCAGUUACUCCAUGAUUAAAACCAAACAGUGCGGUAACUUCAGGGUGUAGAGAACAAGCCAGGAUUUGGGAUCAAAGAGGUGAAUGAACUUCAAGUAUUAUCUGGGAGGCAAAAUCAGUAGCUAAGGAGGUGAACCCAAGGCCAAUUGCCAAGGGUCAGUAGUCUCAGAUCAUGUCCUAAUCAGGAAGCAUUAGGUCAUAGUUGAAGGACAGACCUUAAAACAGUUACUGAGGUCUUGCUAUCUGGCACCUUGGCCUUCAGUGACCUUAAUAGUUGUAACAUGGGUAGAGGUCAACUUAGGAAGGUUAAUUGUGGGGAACUUCAGAGAAGUCUUGCUGUUGGUCAGUGAGGUAUCUGACAAAAUUUCUCCUCAAGCUCCAGAAUCACCUAUACAACUGCUGCUUGACUAUCUCCCGUGAGUUUUCUCCAAACUGAUUUGGCCAAAACCAUGGUCCCAGGCAUGGAAUGAGGGAAGAAUGCUGGUACAUCAGUGGGGGACGGGGAGAGGGUCUGAGCUAUCUGUUCUUUAGCUUGCUUGAACCUUCUGCCUCCAUCGGGUCUUUAAUGUACAUUUUCCAUCUUUCGAUGGAGUGUGGCUGGGCCCAUUUGAUCUUAUGGCCCAGUGAGCCUGCCCAAUUCAGUUCAUGACUGAUAGCUGUGGGCACAUGGUCACUUGGCAUCAACAUCCCCAAAUUCUACCAGGACCCAGUACCAUAACAGGAGUUGGUUUUAAAAAUCAUGCCCAAAACAUAACAUUUCCACUUUACCUUUUUUCCCAGAAAUUUCUAAUUGAAAAUUCUGAUCAGCAACAGAUAUACAAGGAAUAUGCCAUAUUUACUACUGGGUGAGGGUCAAGUACUUGGAUGAUAGAGUUAAAAAAGCAGAAAUACCAAAUACCUAUUCUCUCUAUCAAAAGGCAUUUUCAAUAUAUUGUUUUUCCCUUAAGUUUAUGUUUAUGUCAUAAGUUUAAAUAUAAACUAAUUUUUUCUAGGCUAAGAGCACAGCUUAAAGAAUAUAAAACCUGUAGAUUUGAUGUGGAAGUGAUUUUCGUCAUCAUAGAGCAAUAGAACAUAGGACACAGGAAUUGAAAAUAUGCCCCGACUUUCAAGAAGAAAAAAAAGGUAGAAUUUUGGAAAUUAUAGAUCAGUGAGUUUAAGGUCAACCUCGAAGGAAUGCUAGAAGGGACUACUAAAGGAGUUGAGAAAUAAUCAAGUAGGUAAUAACUACGAAGAACUAUUAGGUUUAAUACUUUACUAUGUAAAUACCCUUUAAAAAAUGUUCUGAGUCUGUAAAAUAAAUAUAAACAUGCAUAAUUAUCCAUUGAAGAGGACACGUCCUUCUUUGCUUAAAAAAAAAAAAAAAAAUGGCCAGAAGCUGGUGUUGUGAUUGUCCCCCUGGGACUUGCCAUGAAUUCCACAGGCAUCUUUUUCCAGUACUGACACUUCCAACAUCAUCGGGCCUACCAGAUCAUAUGGCCCAAGUAGUCGGGCUGCUUGUAACACACACAAAUCCGGCCUUUUAAAAACAUACAGAGCCUCUCUGGGCAAGCUUGUUUGGAAUUGAGAAGGUUAGCAGAGGUGACUUGAAUCUAUGUGGGAAGCAAAGACGAGGAGAAAGGAAAUCCUGUUCUUGUCCCAGUCCUAUAAAGAAAAACACUGGGCAAAGUGCUGAGCCAGCUUCUCUCUCAGAAAACCCUCCCAGACUCAUUUCUGUACCACAGGGUAUGGAUUCAUGGGGUCAAGUGUGUUUUGUGGUAGGUUAUGUGGUUGCUUUUCCAGGUUGUAUGAAGCCGAGCCACGUGAAAUCGCCAACACCCUACACUCCGAUCUGCUCACGAUUUUCACUGUGAUUCAACCUUAUGACACAUCCUCUCGAAUUAUGGGUGGCCAGGCGCACUAGUAGAGUCAACAUGGUGCAAACUUAGAGAUAGCCAAGGGCAAAAGGAAAGGGGUUGAUUUUUGUUUGCUAUUAUUUAGGUCAGGAAAUAUGCCGGGUGCUUUUUACAUUCAACACUCAACCCUCCUAUGCAACCAUCUCACUCAGUCAUUAAGCUUGGUUAAACCUUCCACUUUACCUUGAAUGUAAAAUGAGUUUUAGUGAUUUGCUUAAAGUCACACGCAAAGCCCAAAAGAUGUACGGGGAGAGUUUGGCCCCAGUUCCUCUAGAACAGCAGCCCAAGUGUAAAAGUUGGUGCUAACAUUUUGCUGACAAGCCAAAUCCCAGGGAGGCAGCAGAGUUAAGGCAAUUGUGCAUUCUGAGCUACCACAACAUGGCAACAAAUCGUUUCCCCACUCUUUUGGGCAUUUUCAGAGAGGCUGUAUGAAGCGGCUAGAUUUUCAAAUGGUCUUUCUGGAAUAAAGGAUUUGUGUAUCUACUCCCAUCUCACACCCCUCAAAAGGAUGGCCCCGUGGAGCAUCAACUCUGGAACUACUAGGCUACUCGACUGAAGAUGUCAGGAAGUUGGCCCCAUGGCAGGUCAGCCACAACCCAAAAGCCCCAGGGCAGAAGGUGAUAGGACAGUACUUGGGCUUGAGGCAGGCACCAGCAGGGCAAGCCCUCAAGGGACCCAAGUGACGAGGGGCAAUUGCACAUUCUCCUGAUGGUCUCUGCAAGCCACCCCUUCCCUCCCAUUUGCAGGAACAGCUGAAGCUUCAGAAAUUCGAAUCUAAGAUCAUGAGAACCAAGUAAGUCUCCUGUAGGUCCACACAGGUCAGAAGGCAAGAUGAGGGCACACAUCACGGCUGGUGUACAGUCUGAAGCCCCUAGGGAUCGCGUGUGUGGACUUGCUUUCUCUUAACCUUUGAGCUAUUCCUAAAAAUGCUUCAACUCAUAGGAGCACUGAAACCAAGUGAAAAUUCCAGUACUAUAGACAUCUUUUAGGUUCAUGAAGGUCAAGUGCUCUUUUUCACACCUAGUGCUCUCCUUUAAACGAUUUAAAUUCUCCACGGAUUUUUCUUGUUGUAGAAACACUAGAAAAACUUUAUUUUUUCCACUUGUAGAUAUUUUUCCAAGUCACUCAUCUCAGCAAUGCCUCGAAGUAACCCUCGGUAGUCUCAUGUGUGUGUGAGCCCCUAAGAAAUAUAGGCAGGUAUUACAUAAACGGGAGGCAGAAAGGAACCAAAAUGGCACGUAAGCAGUGUGUUGGGUAUACAUGUUUUUCAACAUCUUAUCGUGUGUGGUAACGUGUCUAUAACAAAAUAUGCCCCUUGAGCCGUUUUUUUUUAAAGGUGUAUCAUUCAAUGGCAGUAAUGCUCCUGUUCUCUCCUAGCCCACUGUUGCGAGACACGCACGGCUCUUAGAUUCUAUGCCCGGGAACUGCCAAAGGGCAUCAGCAACAGCCUACUGAGAGCGAAAUGACUAAGGCUCCAAGACGCAAAAGGGGAACCUGCUGAGGUACAUGGGGACGUUCAAGGUUGUGCACAUGACACCAAGAGCAUCCGCUGUACUUCUGUGGGGUCCCUGAGGGGUCAGGAAAGGACCUCUCCCACUCAAACCCCAGCCCAGAAGGAAGGCUCCAGUUGAGAGCCAUUCCACGGUGGGUCUUCUAGGUCAAAAUCAUCUCCAGUGUGCAAACAUUCACAAGAGACACCGAUCACCUUCUGAGGCAGGCCUGGGUCUUCCAGUGAUGAAGGUGCGGGUCACUAGACUAGGUGAGUGCCCUUGGCAUGAAGUGCAGGCUGAGUGCGGGAGAAUUGGGUAAUGGAGGAGGGAGGUGGUGAUGAUCAGCCACACCCUGGAGGCUACCUGUAGUACAAGUGGAGUUUGUUCCAUCCCCCACCCACAUUAACCCUGGCAGAGACCCCAGUGAGGCAUGCCAAUAGAAGUACACUGCACUGAGCAACCUUGCAAUGGAGGCAGAGACAGCGAUCGGGCAGAGACAGCGAUCGGGCAGAGACAGCGAUCGGGCAGAGACAGCGAUCGGGCAGAGACAGCGAUCGGGCAGAGACAGCGAUCGGGCAGAGACAGCGAUCGGGCAGAGACAGCGAUCGGGCAUGACGGGGGUCAAGGAUGGCCUGUCUCUGGCACCUGUGCCUCUCUGCCACCCGUUUUCCAGCCCUCCUGUCCUUUCCCCCGUUGCCGCAGCACCAGCCUCACCCAGGCAUAGGCUUUCAACACCUCCCAUAUCUUUCUCCUUGGCCCAGGUGUUCCCAGACACCCCAGAACAUGAUGUCCACGGGAAGUCACUCAACACUCACACAUGUGCUGCCCUAGACAGAGGGUAGCCCCUGUUUGGGUAAGCCUUGACCGGUGAGAAAUGGAGUCGGUGAACAUAACCUUCCCUUCCUGUUCUUUCUGCAAACGAUUCCAAAGCACAUUCUACACAGUUCCUCAGAGGGUCCCAGUGGACUGAGCCCCCGCCUUGCACACAGGGGAGACAAGCUCCAUAAUGCAUCCUUGUACUGGCUUUCCCACAUUUCCUGUGGGACACCUCCCAUUCCCCUACCCCUCUUUCCCAAAACAACUUCCCCCAAUCAAUUACAUGCUAGCAAGCCCUUAUCCUAGGCUAUGCUUUCUAGGAGAACCCAGGCUCAGACUCAGUGUGUGUGUCCAACUCUAUGUCAACCACAUAAGCCUGUCUCCCUAUCAUUAUAAAGUAUGUUAACAUUUUUAAUGGGUGUAACAUAAGGCAGACUCUAGACGCUGCCUGUUAAGUAACCUUGGACGAGUUAACUUUUUGGUGUUGGUUUUCUUCUACAUCAGGUGGUGAAAACAGUAUUACCCUCCUAAGGUUGAGAGAAUUAUUAUGUUAAUUCAGAGUAAGGGUUUUGAACUUUGCCUGGCUCAGAAUAACUAACACCUUGUGCUUUCUGUUAUUUUUAUUGUAGUUGGCUAAUUACAAUUUUCUCACUGUUUCCACACUUACCCCACUGUUAAAAGUAAUUCACUGCGUGAACCCUAUCAGCGUGAACAGUCUGCCGAUAAAACGGUCUACCGUGCGAAUCAUCUCUAUCAGCCAUUUCUACAUUUCAGACCAUUUCUUGAGGCUAGAUUACUCCAAGCAGGAUUUAUGGGUCGAAAUAGCCCAUGCCCAUUGCAAUGGCAGCACUUACCCGGUUAGUGCCUGUUGACCCCAAGAUAGAAGUCCUUGGGGAUAGGAGGCAGGGUUUUUUGAUCCCUACUGUAUCCCCAGCACCUGACAAAUUGAGCCCCCUCCUGCGUGCCAGCCUCCAUGUUCAAUAAACACAAACUACAGUAUCGAUGUGUAUUUCUGAAGUGUUCUCCAGAAUAGGUAAUAGGUCUUCAAUAUGUUUUUAGCUUGUGGAGUGUGAAGAUCUAAAAUGGAUCAGGACAUACGGUUAGAAACUCACGAGACAGACAUGCAGUCAGGGUUGACAGAGCGGAUGCUCAGAACGUAUGACUGUCAACUUACCCAUUCACCCCCAUGUAAAAAAAAAAGUAAACAUGUUUCAUAUUCCAACUGUGUCAAUAACCAAGGGGGAGAAACGGAUCCCGUAAGAAAACAAACACUUGGCCUUCGUAAUGAAAAGUCAAUAUUAGACCAAGACCCCAAAUAGGCCAGGCAAUUACCUGCCUCCCCUUAGCUCAUGCCUUGAGGAUUCCUCCCUACAGACCACGGGAGGAACAGCUGGCUUCACCAAGGCUCACCUGGUUAGAAUUUUUCAUGGAGCGUGACUUCAAGGGGG